CAGGAGGAUGGGGAGGAGGAGGAGAAGUCUAGAGGGGAGGAUGGGGAGGAGGAGGAGAAGUCUAGAGGGGAGGAUGGUGGAGGAGGAGGAGAAGUCUAGAGGGGAGGAUGGUGGAGGAGGAGGAGAAGUCUAGAGGGGAGGAUGGUGGAGGAGGAGGGAGGAGGAGGAGAAGUCUAGAGGGAAGGAUGGGGAGGAGGAGGAGAAGUCUAGAGGGGAGGAUGGUGGAGGAGGAGGAGAAGUCUAGAGGGGAGGAUGGUGGAGGAGGAAGGUGAGGAGCCCACACGAAGAAGGGGGCAUGUUCCGAUCAUUAUUAAAAUCACCUCCCUUCUCUCCACCAAACCCUCCUGCAGCAGCAGACAAGCUCUG
rnacentral:lncRNA from 1 species